rnacentral:rRNA from 1 species
ACGGAGGAUCCGUGCGUUAUCCGGAAUUACUGGGUUUAAAGGGUGCGUAGGCGGGGCUUUAAGCCGGCGGUGAAAUGCAGCGGCUCAACCGGUGGAAUGCCCUUGGGACUGGGGCGCUUGGGUACGGUCGGGGGGGGGGGAACUCGUGGUGUAGCGGUGAAAUGCAUAGAUAUCACGAGGAACGCCGGUAGCGAAGGCAUCUCGCCGGGCCGGUAUUGACGCUGAGGCACGAAAGCGUGGGGAUCGAACAG